UAUUAAUCACUUUGCACAGUAGGUUAUAAACUCACCCUCUUUUAUUUUUUCACCUACUACUACACCCACAGCUGUCGCCUUCUCUCUCUCGCUCUCUCGGUCUCUCCACCAUCUCUCUCUCUCGCUCUCUCUCUGUUUCUCGCUCUGUCCCGCACAUCUCUUGUCACGCCCCUGACCGCACAACCCGAAAACGGUACCUAUUUGGUCCGGUUC
rnacentral:lncRNA from 1 species